rnacentral:rRNA from 1 species
UAAAGAAAGUAAGAAAGGGCGUAUGGCGGAUGCCUAGGCUCACGGAGGCGAUGAAGGACGUGAUAAGCUGCGAUAAGCUUCGGGUAGGUGCAAAUAACCCUUGAUCCGAAGAUUUCCGAAUGGGACAACCUAGCCGUCUGAAGGACGGUUACUCAAUCUUCAAGAUUGAGAGCUAACGCAGGGAACUGAAACAUCUUAGUACCUGCAGGAAGAGAAAAUAAAUUAAUGAUUCCCCCAGUAGUGGCGAGCGAACGGGGAACAGCCCAAACCAGUGGCGUCGCAAGGCGUGGCUGGGGUUGUAGGACCGCGACAUUGUAUGCAAAUCGUGAACAGAACACUUUGGAAAAUGUGACCAUAGAG